rnacentral:rRNA from 1 species
UACGUAGGGGGCAAGCGUUGUCCGGAUUUAUUGGGCGUAAAGAGCGUGUAGGCGGCCAGACAGGUCCGUUGUGAAAACUAGAGGCUUAACCUCUAGACGUCGAUGGAAACCGUCUGGCUAGAGUCCGGAAGAGGAGAGUGGAAUUCCUGGUGUAGCGGUGAAAUGCGUAGAUAUCUGGAGGAACACCGGUGGCGAAGGCGGCAUCCUGGACCGGCAUUGACGCUGAGGCGCGAAAGCUAGGGGAGCAAACGGG